UUAUAUAGCACAGGCUGGCCU
rnacentral:misc_RNA from 1 species